rnacentral:tRNA from 1 species
GCCCUCGUAGUAUAGUAGCUAUUACGUUACCUUGGUAAGGUAAAGGUCGCGGGUGCAAAUCCCGUCGAGGGCU